AUUUCUAUGACAUUCUACUAGAUUGGGAUUCACAGGUAAAGAGAGGCCCGAUCCUCCAAUCCACAAGGUGGCGGUAAUGAAGAGAAAAUAGAAGACAAAUCGCUCAUGCGUCUUGGCGGUUGUUAUUGACUACAGUGUGUUUAUUAGCAUUGUUCUUUGCGCCUUUUAGUGUUUUUAAAUGAAUUCAUCCUAUAAUGGUGUUUACCUGCGUCGUUCAUGGCUGCGGGAAACGACCUGAGCCGUACGUGAGAAGCCUGCAUGGAUUCCCGAAUAACUUGGAGACGAUAAAAGCCUGGAAUGAGUUCGUGAGGAGGACCAAACCGUAUUGGAAUGGCAACACUCCUUCAUCGAAGAUCUGUAGCGAGCAUUUCCAGCCAACAUGUUACAAAAACCACAUGGCCUGGUCGAUGGGAUGUGUUAGGACGCUGGAUCUGAUAGAUGACUUUCAGGUGCCAACGAUUUAUCCUGCUGUGGCUGAGAAAAAAGCUUCAUCGCUCACCAAGGAUGUUCUCAAAGCAGGCAUACAUAUACAGACCCACCAAAACCCACCAGGUAGUUCCACCGUGCUUGCAUCGGCGGAAAUAAAACAGGAGGAGGAGGAAACGCACUGCUCUGGAACGACAGACACACCUCUUAUUCAGAUACGGUUACAAAGCUUAUUGUUGACAGGUUGGGACGAGGGCUGUAAAAUCUCCCUAUCUGUGUGGCUGUUUAGGACUGUCAUGUAAAGACAGAGUACCAGGUGAUGUACUUUGUAAGACAUGUGGCGACCCAGACCGACCCUCCGUCCAUUUCCACAAACACACGAUCAGUCGGCACACAGCUGACCAGGUUAUCCCGAAGUACAGGUUCACAGGUGAAAAUGGGUCGAGAUUAUGGUGUCUGCACAAUUCCCUUAAAAACUCCCCGGCUGCUCUUACAACCAACCUUGGUUAAAAGACCAUCCAAGAGACUUCGACUUGCCCUGGAAUAUGAGGAGGAGGCUCCCUCAGAAGGCAUCGCAUCUGCAGCAGUUCAGGUCAAAACCAGUUCAACGUGAACCUGUGGACCGUUUCGGUGCAACAGUCAUACCUCUUGGACCAGAGGUGCAUAAAAGCACACGUCCAUGUAGCUUUCGUCGUCGGUGCGAGGAAAAAGUUUAUCCAGCACCUUGUCAUAACGUUAAUAAAUGUGAUGCACUUGCUUUAUGCCACAACUAAAAACUGUGCAAUGCUUGCUGGGGUGGAAAGCUCUGGUCCAUCUCAAUAUCUCGUAGAAACUGGCAAUGUGAAAAGGACAAAAGCUGCUAGAACCUCACUUUUUUGGGAUUUUCUUCUCAUACCAGAUUGUUUGGAAACAAUCUGUAGCGACAUCAUUAGCCCUCUUUUUGUUGAGAGCAACUCCACUGCUGCUUAAUAGAACAAUAAAAUACCAUAUCAAUGAAUGGCUCCAUUUCCAAUUUUUGUGCAAGUAGAAACCUUACAGUUGAAACCAAAAGUUUGA